CUGGAAUAGAAUUUAUUGAUGAAUCAUGCCUGGAAAUAGUUUCUAGUCGUAUCGUUAGCAAAUUGCUUUUUUCUCUGUUACAGCAAUAUUUCAGGUCUAUUCAUUGAUUGAGUAAUACUGAGCUCUUUGAAAUGUCAGAAUCUGCUAAGGCACACCCAUGAAUGGAAAUGCAAUUCUGCCACCAUGGAGCUCCAAGCAGUGUGAUCUAGAAUCACUACAGAAACACACAGUGUUUGCAGAAGCUUAAACUGAAGACAAGAAACACUCCCUAAACAUGGGCAGACCAUUCUACCAGCUGGAGCCCUGGCGUUCAUCUC
rnacentral:lncRNA from 1 species